rnacentral:rRNA from 1 species
UACAGAGGUCCCAAGCGUUGUUCGGAUUCACUGGGCGUAAAGGGUGCGUAGGUGGUGAGGUAAGUCGGAUGUGAAAGCUCGGAGCUCAACUCCGAAAUGGCAUUGGAAACUACCUUGCUCGAGGGUUGGAGGGGGGACUGGAAUGCUUGGUGUAGCAGCGAAAUGCGUAGAUAUCAAGCGGAACACCAGUGGCGAAGGCGAGUCCCUGGACAACUCCUGACACUGAGGCACGAAAGCUAGGGGAGCAAACAGG